GAUGAACGCUAGCGGGAGGCCUAACACAUGCAAGCCGAGCGGUAUUGUUUCUUCGGAAAUGAGAGAGCGGCGUACGGGUGCGGAACACGUGUGCAACCUGCCUUUAUCUGGGGGAUAGCCUUUCGAAAGGCAGAUUAAUACUUCAUAAUAUAUUGAACGGCAUCGUUUAAUAUUGAAAGCUCCGGCGGAUAGAGAUGGGCACGCGCAAGAUUAGCUAGUUGGUGAGGUAACGGCACACCAAGGCGAUGAUCGUUAGGGGGCCUGAGAGGGUGGGCCCCCACACUGGAACUGAAACACGGACCAGACUCCUACGGGAGGCAGCAGUGAGGAAUAUUGGUCAAUGGGUGCAAGCCUGAACCAGCCAUCCCGCGUGAAGGACGACUGCCCUAUGGGUUGUAAACUUCUUUUGUAUAGGGAUAAACCUACCCUCGUGAGGGUAGCUGAAGGUACUAUACGAAUAAGCACCGGCUAACUCCGUGCCAGCAGCCGCCGCCGUAA
rnacentral:rRNA from 1 species